rnacentral:rRNA from 1 species
UACGGAGGGUGCAAGCGUUAUCCGGAUUUACUGGGUUUAAAGGGUGCGUAGGUGGGUCUGUAAGUCAGUGGUGUAAUCUCCGAGCUUAACUCGGAAACUGCCAUUGAUACUAUAGGUCUUGAAUUAUCUGGAGGUAAGCGGAAUAUGUCAUGUAGCGGUGAAAUGCUUAGAUAUGACAUAGAACACCAAUUGCGAAGGCAGCUUACUACGGAUACAUUGACACUGAGGCACGAAAGCGUGGGGAUCAAACAGG